rnacentral:rRNA from 1 species
GGGACAUUACCAGUAUGACGGCGGGCUGGAACCUCUCGGGGUUACAGCCUUGCUGAAUUAUUCACCCUUGUCUUUUGCGUACUUCUUGUUUCCUUGGUGGGUUCGCCCACCACUAGGACAAACAUAUAAACCUUUUGGAAUUGCAAUCAGCGUCAGUAACAAAUUAAUAAUUACAACUUUCAACAACGGAUCUCUUGGUUCUGGCAUCGAUGAAGAACGCAGCGGAAUGCGAUAAGUAGUGUGAAUUGCAGAAUUCAGUGAAUCAUCGAAUCUUUGAACGCACAUUGCGCCCUUUGGUAUUUCAAAGGGCAUGCCUGUUCUAGCGUAAUUUGUACACUCAAGCUUUGCUUGGGGAUGGGCGACUUGUCUCCAGACUCUGCUGGAGACUACCCUAAGUUUAUUUGGUUGCCGCCUACUGGGUUCAAACCCCACAGAAGUAGAAUCUCUAUCAGGAAAGGUUGAAAACCUUUAAACGUUUUAUCACUUUUGAUCCCGCACCCCGUCGGAUUCCCGCUGGAUUCUCCCUAUGUUACAGGAA